rnacentral:rRNA from 1 species
GGUGAACGCUGGCGGUAUGCUUAACACAUGCAAGUCGAACGGACUCUUCGGAGUUAGUGGCGGACGGGUGAGUAACGCGUGAGAAUCUGGCUUUGGGUUCGGGACAACCACUGGAAACGGUGGCUAAUACCGGAUGUGCCGAGAGGUAAAAGAGAAAUUGCCUGAAGAUGAGCUCGCGUCUGAUUAGCUAGUUGGUGAGGUAAAGGCUCACCAAGGCAGCGAUCAGUAGCUGGUCUGAGAGGAUGACCAGUCACACUGGGACUGAGACACGGCCCAGACUCCUACGGGAGGCAGCAGUGGGGAAUUUUCCGCAAUGGGCGAAAGCCUGACGGAGCAAUACCGCGUGAGGGAAGAAGGCUCUUGGGUUGUAAACCUCUUUUCUUAGGGAAGAACAAAAUGACGGUACCUAAGGAAUCAGCAUCGGCUAACUCCGUG